GACGAACGCUGGCGGCGGGCUUAACACAUGCAAGUCGAACGGAAAGGCCCUGCUUGUGUGGGUUGCUCGAGUGGCGAACGGGUGAGUAACACGUGAGUAACCUGCCCUUGACUUUGGGAUAACUUCAGGAAACUGGGGCUAAUACCGGAUAGGAGCUCCUGCGGCAUGGUGGGUGUUGGAAAGUUUCGGCGGUUGGGGAUGGACUCGCGGCUUAGCAGCUUGUUGGUGGGGUAGUGGCUUACCAAGGCUUUGACGGGUAGCCGGCCUGAGAGGGUGACCGGGAACAUUGGGAAUGAGAUACGGCCCAGACUACUACGGGAGGCAGCAGUGGGGACUAUUGCACGAUGGGCGGAAGCCUGAUGCAGCAACGCCGCGUGCGGGAUGACGGCCUUCUGGUUGUAAACCGCUUUCGCCUGUGACGAAGCGUGAGUGAAGGUAAUGGGUAAAUAAGCACCGGCUAACUACGUG
rnacentral:rRNA from 1 species